rnacentral:misc_RNA from 1 species
AACGCACGAGACCUGCGGACCUGCGGAGGGAUCAUUACCGAGUUUACAACUCCCAAACCCAAUGUGAACGUUACCAAACUGUUGCCUCGGCGGGAUCUCUGCCCCGGGUGCGUCGCAGCCCCGGACCAAGGCGCCCGCCGGAGGACCAACCAAAACUCUUUUGUAUACCCCCUCGCGGGUUUUUUAUAUCUGAGCCAUCUCGGCGCCUCUCGUAGGCGUUUCGAAAAUGAAUCAAAACUU